rnacentral:misc_RNA from 1 species
AAGCGAUUAAAUUAAGCGAUUAGAGUCAAACAAUCACUAUGUUUCGUUCGUGCAUUUUGAUUGCGGCGUUGAUCGUCGUGAUCAAUUCAAGCCCAACCCAGGAAGGAGGUAAGGAUUGGUACAAGAAUAGUUUGAUAUAUCAGAUCUAUCCGAGAAGCUUCAAGGAUGAUGACGGGGAUGGUAUUGGCGAUUUGAAGGGUAUCACAAGUAAAUUGGAGCACGUCCGAGAUAUCGGCGCCGAUGCACUAUGGCUGUCACCGAUUUACAGUAGUCCCCAAGCAGAUUUCGGCUAUGACAUUUCUAAUUUUACCGACAUCCACGAAGAGUAUGGAACUCUAGAAGAUUUUGACGAACUUGUAGAGACGGCAAAGAAUUUGGGACUGAAAGUAAUCCUUGAUUUUGUGCCGAAUCAUAGUUCCGAUGAACACAUAUGGUUCAAUCGGAGUGCCGCUCGUGAAGAGCCCUUCGACGAGUUCUACAUUUGGCGUGAUGCUAAAUGUGACAAAGAUGGCAAACAUCCGCCAAACAACUGGUUAAGCGUUUUUGGAGGCUCUGCCUGGGAAUGGAACGAGGAACGAGAGCAGUAUUAUUUGCAUCAAUUUCAUGCUAAACAACCGGAUCUCAAUUAUCGUAAUCCUAAACUACGAAAAGAAAUGGAGAAAGUAUUGACUUUCUGGAUGGAUCGAGGUGUGGAGGGUUUUCGCAUCGACGCUAUCAAUCACAUGUACGAGGAUGAUCGAUUUUUGGACGAACCGUUAAGGGCGCCUGAAUUACCUGAGGAUGAUUACGAUAGGUUAGACCAUAUUUACACGAAAAAUCUUCUCGAGACUUACGAUGUUCUCAAAUCCUGGAGAGAAUUAAUGGACAAACAUCCGAAAACUGCUGACACAAAGAUGAUCCUGACCGAGGCCUACACGGAUUUUAAUCUCACUAUGUUGUAUUAUAAGUCGGGUUCGACUGUGCCGUUCAAUUUCAUGUUUAUUUCUGAUCUAAAUAAUAAAUCUAAAGCCGCCGAUUUCAAAUACUAUAUCGAUCGUUGGGUGAACAAUAUACCUAGCGGUCCGGAAUACGUCGCGAAUUGGGUAGUGGGCAAUCACGACAAUCAUCGUGCAGCUAGCAGAUUUGGCGAUAAUCGAAUUGAACAACUUAAUAUGUUAGCAACCAUUUUGCCUGGCGUAAGCGUAGUUUACAACGGUGACGAGAUCGGCAUGGUUGAUAGGAAUUUUACAUGGGAAGAAACCGUGGAUCCUGCUGGAUGCAAUGCUGGACGAGACAGGUAUGCUGAAAAAUCACGGGAUCCGGAAAGAACGCCUUAUCAAUGGGACAACACCACUAGCGCCGGUUUCUCCAACAAUACUGACACGUGGCUUCCAGUGAACGAGAAUUACAAAACCUUGAAUUUGGAAGCGCAAAAGUCCGAGAACGACACCUCUCAUUACAAAAUGUUUAAAUUGUUAGCGCAAUUGAAGAAGAAGAAUGUCAUUAAGCUGGGCUCUUUAGAAACUUCGUUGUACUGUUUUGAUUGUAUUGGAGACCAGAACGUUCUAGGGGUGAUACGACGAUACGAAACAUCCGUCGUGAUGCUCUUAGUGAACUUUGACGAAAAUCCGGUAGUCGUCGAUGUCAGGACCUGGUUGAAUAUUCCAGAGAACUUGAUCGUUUAUGCGUCCAGCGUGGACUCCGACCUGAAUCAAGGAUCGCACGUCGAUGUGGCUAAUGUCGCUCUGGAGGGCGCGGUUUCCGUUGUACUUACAACAGAAUUGGUCGAGUAAAUUUCUGCUUAUCUUAUGACUAACGGGUAACUCUCUAAUAAAACAAAGUUUCAUAUAUAUAUAUAUAUAUAUAUA